rnacentral:rRNA from 1 species
CCUGGCUUGACAAUACUACUGACCGACAUGAAACAAUGUCUUCCCUUCGGGCAAGCAAUACAGGUGGUGCAUGGCUGUCGUCAAGCUCGUGUCGUGAGAUGUUGGGUUGAGUCCCGCAACGAGCGCAACCCCCGUCCUAUGUUGCCAGCAUUCAGUUGGGGACUCAUAGGAGACUGCCGGUGACAAACCGGAGGAAGGUGGGGAUGACGUCAAGUCAUCAUGCCCCUUAUGUCCAGGGCUUCACACGUGCUACAUUGGCGCAUACAGAGGGCUGCGAUACCGNCAAGGUGGAGCGAAUCCCAAAAAGUGCGUCUCGGUUCGGAUUGGGGGCUGAAACUCGCCCCCAUGAAGGCGGAGUUGCUAGUAAUCCCGGAUCAGCAAUGCCGGGGUGAAUACGUUNCCC